rnacentral:rRNA from 1 species
AUACGGAGGGUGCAAGCGUUACUCGGAAUCACUGGGCGUAAAGCGCGCGCAGGCGGUCUUUUAAGUUGGAUGUGAAAGCCUACAGCUCAACUGUAGAACUGCAUCCAAAACUAUUAGACUAGAGUCUGAGAGGGGAAGAUGGAAUUAGUUGUGUAGGGGUAAAAUCCGUAGAGAUAACUAGGAAUACCAAAAGCGAAGGCGAUCUUCUGGAACAGUACUGACGCUGAGGCGCGAAAGCGUGGGGAGCAAACAGGAUUAGAAACCCGGGUAGUCC